rnacentral:rRNA from 1 species
GUGGGGAAUAUUGGACAAUGGGCGAAAGCCUGAUCCAGCCAUGCCGCGUGUGUGAAGAAGGCCUUCGGGUUGUAAAGCACUUUUGUUGGGAAAGAAAUCCUGUCGGCUAAUACCCGGCGGGGAUGACGGUACCCAAAGAAUAAGCACCGGCUAACUUCGUGCCAGCAGCCGCGGUAAUACGAAGGGUGCAAGCGUUACUCGGAAUUACUGGGCGUAAAGCGUGCGUAGGUGGUUCGUUAAGUCAGAUGUGAAAGCCCCGGGCUCAACCUGGGAAUUGCAUUUGAUACUGGCGGACUAGAGUGCGGUAGAGGAGAGUGGAAUUCCCGGUGUAGCAGUGAAAUGCGUAGAGAUCGGGAGGAACAUCAGUUGCGAAGGCGGCUCUCUGGACCAGCACUGACACUGAGGCACGAAAGCGUGGGGAGCAAACAGGAUUAGAAACCCCUGUAGUCC